rnacentral:rRNA from 1 species
UACGUAGGGGGCAAGCGUUGUUCGGAUUUACUGGGCGUAAAGGGCGCGUAGGCGGCUUAACAAGUCACUUGUGAAAUCUCCGGGCUUAACUCGGAACGGCCAAGUGAAACUGUCAAGCUAGAGUGCAGAAGGGGCAAUCGGAAUUCUUGGUGUAGCGGUGAAAUGCGUAGAUAUCAAGAGGAACACCUGAGGUGAAGACGGGUUGCUGGGCUGACACUGACGCUCAUGCACGAAAGCGUGGGGAGCAAACAGG